rnacentral:rRNA from 1 species
UACGUAGGGGGCUAGCGUUGUCCGGAAUCAUUGGGCGUAAAGAGCGUGUAGGCGGCUUGGUAAGUCCGCUGUGAAAGUCCAGGGCUCAACCCUGGAAAGCCAGUGGAAACUGUCAAGCUAGAGUCCGGAAGAGGCGAGUGGAACUCCUGGUGUAGCGGUGAAAUGCGUAGAUAUCAGGAGGAACACCUGCGGUGUAGACGGCUUCUGGACCAUUGUUGACGCUGAGACACGAAAGCGUGGGUAGCAAACAGG